rnacentral:rRNA from 1 species
AUUGAACGCUGGCGGCAGGCCUAACACAUGCAAGUCGAACGAGUGGCGGACGGGUGAGUAAUGUCUGGGAACCUGCCUGAUGGAGGGGGAUAACUACUGGAAACGGUAGCUAAUACCGCAUACCAUGGGAUGUGACCAGAUGGGAUUAGCUAGUAGGGGGGGUAAGGGGUCACAUAGGCGACGAUAUCUCGCUUGUCUGAGAGGAUGGCCAGCCACACUGAAACUGUGACACGGUCCAGACUCCUACGUGAGGCAGCAGUGGGGAAUAUUGAACAAUGGGCGCAAGUCUGAUGCAGCCAUGCCGCGUGUAUGAAGAAGGCAUUCGGGUUGUAAAGUACUUUCAGCGGGGAGGCGUUACCCGCAGAAGAAGCACCGGCUAACUCCGUGCCAGCCGCCGCGGUAAUUC